rnacentral:lncRNA from 1 species
GCUUAAUUGUAAUGUAGAUUUGUUACAUUUCGUCUGAAACAAUCUUAUGGCAUCUUAUAGGAGUUAGUGCCCCUGAAAUGUGUAAUUAUCAUGUUUAUUGAUGUUUACUUCAACUUGGUUCAUUAUAUAGCCAUAUGACCUUUACCAAAAUGUUAAGUGACAUAUGACCUUGAAAAAUGUCAACCGGAAGUGACCUGGAAAAAACCGGAAGUAGCCAUUUUUGCACAUUUUUCAUGAAAAAAUACUCGGAAUUCAUAUAUUUUGUCAUAUAGAUAAAUAAACU